rnacentral:rRNA from 1 species
AUAAAAGACGUAAUGUACUACGAAAAGUUAUGAGUUAAUCAAUUAAAUUCAUAAAUUUCUUAAUAAGGUAAACUCCUAAAGUUGUUCUACAAAGGCCUAUUAUAUUAGCGAAAUGACACAUCUAAGUAGCUAGAAUAAAAAAUCAACCGAGAGUUCAUAAUUAGGUGGCGAGCCAACAUGAAUUAGA